GUUGUCCGGAAUUACUGGGCGUAAAGAGCUCGUAGGUGGUUUGUCGCGUCGUUUGUGUAAGCCCGCAGCUUAACUGCGGGACUGCAGGCGAUACGGGCAUAACUUGAGUGCUGUAGGGGAGACUGGAAUUCCUGGUGUAGCGGUGGAAUGCGCAGAUAUCAGGAGGAACACCGAUGGCGAAGGCAGGUCUCUGGGCAGUAACUGACGCUGAGGAGCGAAAGCAUGGGUAGCGAACAGGAUUAGAUACCCUGGUAGUCCAUGCCGUAAACGGUGGGCGCUAGGUGCGAGUCCCUUCCACGGGGUUCGUGCCGUAGCUAACGCAUUAAGCGCCCCGCCUGGGGAGUACGGCCGCAAGGCUAAAACUCAAAGGAAUUGACGGGGGCCCGCACAAGCGGCGGAGCAUGUGGAUUAAUUCGAUGCAACGCGAAGAACCUUACCUGGGCUUGACAUACACCAGAUCGCCGUAGAGAUACGGUUUCCCUUUGUGGUUGGUGUACAGGUGGUGCAUGGUUGUCGUCAGCUCGUGUCGU
rnacentral:rRNA from 1 species